rnacentral:rRNA from 1 species
CGGAGGAUCCAAGCGUUAUCCGGAUUCAUUGGGUUUAAAGGGUGCGUAGGCGGAAUGAUAAGUCAGUGGUGAAAUCCCUUCGCUUAACGAAGGAACGGCCAUUGAUACUGUCAAUCUUGAGUACAUUUGAUGUGGGCGGAAUGUGUCAUGUAGCGGUGAAAUGCUUAGAUAUGACACAGAACACCGAUUGCGAAGGCAGCUCACAAAACUGUAACUGACGCUGAGGCACGAAAGCGUGGGUAUCAAACAGGAUUAGAUACCCUGGCAGUCCACGCUGUAAACCAUGAUUACUCGAUGUUUGCGAUACACUGUAAGCGUCUAAGCGAAAGCGAUAAGUAAUCCACCUGGGGAGUACGCUCGCAAGAGUG